rnacentral:rRNA from 1 species
GGUCAAGCUAGAAAGGGCGCAGGGCGAAUGCCUUGGCACUGGGAGCCGAAGAAAGACGCGAUAAGCUGCGAUAAGCCACGGGGAGCCGCAAAUAGGCAUCGAUCCGUGGAUUUCUGAAUGGAGCAAUCCGGCGGUGGUAACGCACCGUCAUCAUACACUGAAUUCAUAGGUGUAUGAGGGGAACCGCCUGAACUGAAACAUCUAAGUAGGGCGAGGAAGAGAAAUCAAAAGAGAUUCCGCUAGUAGUGGCGAGCGAACGCGGAAGAGGCCAAACCGAGAGCAGCAAUGUUUUCGGGGUUGUGGACUGCAAACGGUAUUGACAAGACUUAACCGAAGGGCCUGGGAAGGCCCGCCGGAGAAUGUGAAAGCCAUGUAGGUGAAAAGUUGAGUCAGCUAGCAGUAUCCAGAGUACCGCGGGACACGUGAAACCCCGUGGGAAGCCGGGGGGACCACCCUCCAAGCCUAAAUACUCCCCAGUGACCGAUAGCGUAUAGUACUGUGAAGGAAAGGUGAAAAGCACCCCGGGAGGGGAGUGAAAAAGAACCUGAAACCCUGUGCCUACAAGCACCGAGAGCACGUCAAAGUGUGAUCGGGUACUUUUUGUAGAACGGUCCGGCGAGCGUAUGUAUGUAGCAAGGUUAAGGACUUAAGGUCCGGAGCCAAAGGGAAACCGAGUCUGAAUAGGGCGAAAGAGUUGCAUGCAUAGGGCCCGAAACCGGGUGACCUAUCCAUGUCCAGGUUGAAGUGGGGGUAAAACCCCAUGGAGGACCGAACCAACCCCCGUUGAAAAGGUGGUGGAUGAGGUGUGGAUAGCGGAGAAAUUCCAAUCGAACCCGGAGAUAGCUGGUUCUCCCCGAAAUAGUUUUAGGACUAGCGUUGCGUUAGAUUACCGGAGGUAAAGCACUGAAUAGGCUAGGGGCCGAGAGGUUACCGAACCUUAUCAAACUCUGAAUGCCGGAUAAUUGAUGCGCAGCAGUCAGACAGUGUGAGAUAAGUUUCAUUGUCGAAAGGGAAAAAGCCCAGACCCACAGCUAAGGUCCCCAAGUACAGUUAAGUGGAAAAGGAUGUGGAAUUGCCCAGACAACCAGGAUGUUGGCUUAGAAGCAGCCAUACAUUUAAAGAGUGCGUAAUAGCUCACUGGUCGAGUGGUUCUGCGCCGAAGAUUUAACGGGGCUAAACUGUACACCGAAGCUUGGGAUGCAUACUGAAAGGUAUGCGUGGUAGGGGAGCGUUGUAUGCGGGGUGAAGCAUGAGCGGAAGCGCAUGUGGACUGCAUAGAAGUGAGAAUGCCGGAAUGAGUAGCGAGAAUUAUGUGAGAAUCAUAAUGGCCGAAAGCCUAAGGUUUUUGGAGGAAGGUUCGUCCGCUCCAAGUUAGCCGGGAGCUAAGGUGAGGCCGAAAGGCGUAGCCGAUGCACAUACGGUAGAAAUUCCGUAGCCGUCGAAAAGUUUAAGCAAAGGGACACUUUAGAAGCGUGUGCCCCGGGCGUUGGUAGCCCCGGGCGUAAGGACUGCAAUUGAGUGGGAUGCACGCGUGGAUAGAGGCGAGAAAAGCUUUGUGUAUACUUGAGACGCCCGUACCGCAAACCGACACAGGUAGGUAGGAAGAGGAUUCUAAGGCCAACGGGAGAAUUGUUGUUAAGGAACUCGGCAAGUUGACCCCGUAACUUCGGGAGAAGGGGUGCUCUUGAAAAAGAGCCGCAGAGAAUAGGUCCAGGCGACUGUUUAUCAAAAACACAGGUCUAUGCUAAAUCGAAAGAUGACGUAUAUGGGCUGACGCCUGCCCGGUGCUGGAAGGUUAAGAGGAGAUGUGAGAGCAUUGAAUUGAAGCCCCAGUAAACGGCGGCCGUAACUAUAACGGUCCUAAGGUAGCGAAAUUCCUUGUCAGGUAAGUUCUGACCCGCACGAAUGGCGUAACGAUCUGGACACUGUCUCAACAGCAAGCCCGGCGAAAUUGUAGUACCGGUGAAGAUGCCGGUUACCCGCGACAAGACGGAAAGACCCCAUGGAGCUUUACUGCAGCCUGAUAUUGGAUUUCGGUAUUUCAUGUACAGGAUAGGUGGGAGACUGGGAAGCACGGACGCCAGUUCGUGUGGAGUCAACCUUGGGAUACCACUCUUGGGAUACUGGAAUUCUAACCUGCGGCCAUGAAUCUGGUCGGGGGACAUUGUCAGGUGGGCAGUUUGACUGGGGCGGUCGCCUCCAAAAGAGUAACGGAGGCGUUCAAAGGUUGGCUCAGCACGGACGGAAACCGUGCAUUAGAGUGCAAACGCAAAAGCCAGCCUAACUGCGAGAGCGACGGUUCGAGCAGUGACGAAAGUCGGAGUUAGUGAUCCGGUGGUAUGUGAGUGGAAAUGCCAUCGCUCAACGGAUAAAAGCUACCCUGGGGAUAACAGGCUGAUCUCCCCCAAGAGUCCACAUCGUCGGGGAGGUUUGGCACCUCGAUGUCGGCUCAUCACAUCCUGGGGCUGAAUUCGGUCCCAAGGGUUUGGCUGUUCGCCAAUUAAAGUGGUACGCGAGCUGGGUUCAGAACGUCGUGAGACAGUUCGGUCCCUAUCUGUCGUGGGCGCAGGAUAUUUGAGAGGAGCUUUCCCUAGUACGAGAGGACCGGGAUGGACGCACCUCUGGUGCACCAGUUGUCACGCCAGUGGCACAGCUGGGCAGCUAUGUGCGGAAGGGAUAAACGCUGAAGGCAUCUAAGCGUGAAGCCCCCCUCGAGAUAAGAUAUCCCACUGAGUCAAUCAGGUAAGACCCCUUGUAGACUACAAGGUUGAUAGGCCGCAGGUGUAAGCAUGGUGACAUGUUCAGCCAGGCGGUACUAAUCGGUCGAGGGCUUGACCUU